UAAUCUAGUAUUUGCUCCUCACAUACCUAAAAAUUGAAAUGGGAAAUCAAUUAAUUGGGUAAAACUUCCAAAUUCCGGGAAAACCUUAAAGCUUCUGAUACUAAGCAUUAAUCGAAAGGUUAAUUGUGGCUGAAGUAAUUACUCAGGUAUAGUAAUAAGUCAGAAGAUAUACGAGAGUAUAAUAGGCAACCGCGGAUCUAAAUCAGUAAUACGUGGGCGCAAGCUCUAUAUUGCUGUAAAAGAGCAACGAGUAAACGGUAGUUGCAUUGAAUAUUUAAAUAAAGAAAAAUACUCAAUGUUAAGAUGUACUCUAGUGGGCUUCGAAAGAAGUUA
rnacentral:ncRNA from 1 species